rnacentral:rRNA from 1 species
GAGUUUGAUCCUGGCUCAGAUUGAACGCUGGCGGCAGGCCUAACACAUGCAAGUCGAGCGGAUGACGGGAGCUUGCUCCUUGAUUCGGCGGCGGACGGGUGAGUAAUGCCUAGGAAUCUGCCUGGUAGUGGGGGACAACGUUUCGAAAGGAACGCUAAUACCGCAUACGUCCUACGGGAGAAAGCAGGGGACCUUCGGGCCUUGCGCUAUCAGAUGAGCCUAGGUCGGAUUAGCUAGUUGGUGGGGUAAUGGCUCACCAAGGCGACGAUCCGUAACUGGUCUGAGAGGAUGAUCAGUCACACUGGAACUGAGACACGGUCCAGACUCCUACGGGAGGCAGCAGUGGGGAAUUUUGGACAAUGGGGGCAACCCUGAUCCAGCCAUGCCGCGUGAGUGAAGAAGGCCUUCGGUUGUAA